rnacentral:rRNA from 1 species
UACGAAGGGGGCUAGCGUUGCUCGGAUUGACUGGGCGUAAAGGGCGCGUAGGCGGUUCGUACAGUCAGACGUGAAAUUCCUGGGCUCAACCUGGGGGCUGCGUUUGAUACGUGCGGACUUGAGUGCGGAAGAGGGUCGUGGAAUUCCAGUGUAGAGGUGAAAUUCGUAGAUAUUGGGAAGAACACCGGUGGCGAAGGCAGCUCACUGGGACGGUACUGACGCUGAGACGCGAAAGCGUGGGGAGCAAACAGG